UCAAUUUCGCUAGAUAGUAUUAUAAUGGAAUAUUAAAAGUUUAUAUAUAAUAUAAUUUGAAUAUUACGUGGUUACAAAUUAAAUUUAAACAAGCAGCUAGUAACAAUCUCAACAAUCACUUUAAAUUUGAAUAAUAUAUCUUUCCAUAUUUAAACACAUUCUAAGAUUUCAAACUCCUUCGAGAUCAUGCUUUACACGUUUCAUACGUGGGAACUGGACGAAAAUGGAACGAUUCGCAAUGCGCAUGCGCGUAGCAAUCGAAGUCGCUCUCGAUAAUCGCGCGAGACGCGAUGGUAACGAUGGUUCGCUGGUCGCAUGCAAAAUGAAGCUGAUUUGGAUAUGCGGCACAAUUUAGACGAGCUAUGAACAGGGACACAUUCGACGUGCAUGCACUUCAACACGUGAUUCGUGCGCACGUAGUCAUGCUUGAUAUACAUUUGAAUGUUAAUUGACCAGUGUGGAAUAAUUCAAGUUCUUUAUUCGGAUGCGGCAUUUGAGACUUUGGUGAGAUUUGAUGAUAAAUUUAUUGAAAUUUGAAAAAAUAAUAUUCAAUCAUCGAAUUCGAUGGUAUCAUUUUCAUCAAACGAUGAAAUAUUUUUGAUAUUGUAUUUAUCCACAGAUUAAUUAAUAAAGAUUUUGGAAAUAACAAACAUUCCUUUAUUAAAAUCUAAAAUUCAGAUAAAUAUAUGAUAAAGUUUAACUUAAAUAAUAUGACAUAGUUAAGAAAAUUAUUGUCAUAAAUUAUAUUAUAAAAUAAAAUAUACAAAUAAAUAAAAUAAAACAUAUUUUAUUAAAAAAUUAAAUACUAAUAAAAAAUCAAUACAAGAAUGUAGUUUUGAAAAGGAAAUUGAUGUCAAAGUAUUUGAAUAAUUAACAUUCUACAUGGUAGACGAUUGAUUUUAAUAGCCAUUAAAUUGGUUAUUUACACGGAUACGUGAUAUUAUAUUUUAAUUUGUCGAUAUGUCGGCAAACAAUUGCCAGAAACGAUGACUAUAUUGUACUUUGUGAAUGACCUUUCAUAUCAUAUGAAUAGUAUUGUGAAUUUAAUUGAGAUUAUUCAAAAAGACUGAAGAAGAUUCAUUUCUUUCCAUAUAAGUAAUCUUCUUAGAUAAUACUUUUAUACAUUGUUUCGACAUUUAUUACUUUAGCAUUCUAAAGUUAGAACAUCGUAAAGUUUAUCGUAAACAUGAAUACUUCAUAUAUCCAAAUGCAAUAAAAACAUACAUUUCUAUUUUUAUAGUUAUUCUUUAUAAUGACGAGAUAAUAAACAAAUAAAUCUAAAAUAAAAUACACGAUAUAAAAAGGACAAAACGGAACACACGAAAAAAAAAAUGCAUUACUAGGGAGAAAGAGUAUACCAGCCAUUAGAUUUCUUUAUUACGGAACUCCUUCAACUAUCAAACGAUUCAACUAAAUCUACCACUCGGAAUUUACUGCUGCCAUCAUUUCACACGGAUAUUGCCACACAAUCGUCUACUUCAAACAAACCAUUUACCAGUCUAUUCAUCGAAGGGAUCAGUAUCCAUCCCUCUAUAGUGUUUUUUAUCUGCAAUAACGGCACCCUCUUGAAACCAUACUAUUAUACUUAUAUACUUUCUCCCCUUAUGCUUAUCUGUGAAUCAAGUGCGUAUGAUCUUGUCUACUUGUUGCAACCACAGAAUUCGCAGAAUCAGUAACUGGAUAGCUAGUGUCAGUACUUAAGAUCAAUUAUUUCCAAAUUUCAAGCUUAUAAUCAUCUUACUACAUAAAAGUCUAUUUUACGUAUUAAUUCUUAAUGUACUGUGCUUUUUUACAGAGAACAUUCAAACGCGAGAGUGGAAUGAAUGUUUUAUCGCGCUUGAACACAAAAUAUUUGAACUAAGUUAUAGCUUCUCUAAAGAUCUAUCAUGUACUUUUCCUCACUGAUCAUCAAGCCGGCCCACUUUCGGCCAAAUCCUCCUGGCGCGCGUAAACCAAAAUUCUCGGUCACAUAACAGAUACGUAACAAGGAAGGAAUUCGUAUGAAAGGAGGACGCGGGGGCAAAAGUGCAAGGGUUACAACACGAAAUGCAAUUAGGCCGAUGAAGAAGUAUCGGGAUUACGUCAUCGGGGAAACGAUUUCAGUCUGAGAACAAGUCAUUUUGCACAGCCGCCUAAUUCGGCUUCGAGAAAAUGCGAUUUCAUGACAGAGCUUGUCGAUGCGCACCGAUUAGUGUGUCAGUAGGUUGCCAAUUCCAAUCGUGAGACAGCCAAAUUUGGCGCUGUUUCGAGGACAGGGGUUCCGCGUGUUCACGUCACGGUACUGCACUUCGAUCUUAUAUAUAUUUCAUUUUGAUGAAAUGAUAUCUCUAUCGAUAAAAUAAAAAUUUUUAUAAAAUAAAUUAAUCUAAAAGAAAUAUUAGGAAUUUCUUAAGAUUUAUUAUUAAUCUUUUAUUUCUUAAAAUAUUUACUAUUAAUAGAAAUAUUGCAAAUUAUGUUUUAUAAUGAAAUUAAAGACAAACUUAAUUUAUUCUGAUUUUGAUUAAUUUAUGAAUAAUUAUAUAAUCUAAUUGUGCUAAUAUUCUGUCGAUUAAAAAAUUAAUUCAAGAAUAUGAAUUAAUAAAAUUAAGAAAUUCUCAGAAAAUAAAGUUAAAUUAUUGAAUAAAUUAUAGGAUGAUUAAAAAAAAAAAAUUUUUAAAAAAUGAAAAAUUUCAAUUUGUUAAAAUUAAAUUAUUAAAAUUUAAUAUUUAAUCUUAACAUUUUAGAUUUUCAAUUUAUUAUUUAUUUUAAAAACUAUGUCGGAUAUUGAUUAAUGUAUCAAUUAACAGACAAUAUUGGCAAUUGGAAAUCGUAUAAGGUUAUCGUACGAUAUCGAAUUUCAACGCAAAUUAUUUAUCAACAACGUUAUAUUUUACAUUAACGUGUUAAUAGUUUAAAAGUCCUUAGACUAUUAAAAUCUAGUUAACGAUUGUUGUUGAAAAUUAUAUUUAAUAAUUUGCACAUAGUAUAAUUAAUAGACACUACAAAAUAUAAGUACAAUAAAUGCAUAUAAUUCUUUAUAUAAUUUUCAUUAUAAGACACUUUCUUUCCAAUAACACAUUUUCUUUCCAAUUAGCAACAAUGAAAUCUGAAUUAUUUUGAAAACAAAUUUUUUUAUCUAACAAAUAUGUGUUUCUUAAUACAUAUUGUAAAUGUUUAACAUGAAAUAUUUUUAUAGUCUAUAAUAAUGAAAUAAUGAAAUAAUAUAUGGAAAUCUUAAUUUAAAAUAAAACUAAAUAUAAUAGAAUAUAUAAAAAAUAAUUGAAAAAAAUUGCUCAGAAAUGUUGUCCUAUCUUUUUAUUUUUUUCAUUUUUCACUCGUAAAAUUUAAAUUUUCGUUUUAACAUUUUUUUUUUUCAUUUUAUUUUUCACAGUUCAUAAAUUUAAAAAUGAAUAGUAAUAUCAUAAUAUGUAUAAAAUAAUAAUGAUGCAACACUAAUAAUAAUCGAUUGAUAAGAAUAAUGAAUAAUACAUGAUAAUAGUGCAUAACGGUCAUUGACCAAUUCUCAUAAUGAUAAAAUGUCAUCGUUAAUUACCAGCUCUAUAUCGAUUUCACGUAUAACGCCAAAUGUUGCAAUUUAGUGGCGCAUCAUAGGCUCGUUUCCUUUAUUUUAUUAUGCAAUAAAUCGAGUGAAACUGUCGAUAGAAGCAUAUAAUGGAAUAAUCCAGAGGAUGAAAAUUAUUGGUGGCAAUGCUUUUGCGAACGAGAUGCAUAUGAUGAUAUAAAUUAAAUAAAUUAACAAGCGAAAUUACAGUGGCAACGAGGAAGAAGAGGCUGAAGGCACAACGGCGUGGGAAAUAAUAAGAAAAAAGAUAUUAUCGAUGACCUGACGAAGGGUUAAAAGGAUUCAACGCGUCAGUCUGCCGGGGCUCUUUGCAAUUCAAUUCGUGUCGGCUCCGGUGUACGCCUUUUAUAUUUCGUCGUCGAUCACAUGAUUGUGAUGUAGUCCAUGAGACCUCCUUCCCAUGGAUCUCAAGAAAGAGGUCACGUCCGGGGAUAAACCUUUUAGAAUUUUAUACGCGAAUAUUUUAACAGAAUUCAUUUUUGAUUUAACAUUCGUAAACAUGUGUUAUAUAUAUACGUCACAAAUGCUCGAUCGAUAAAAUAUGAUUAGAAUAAAUUGCAUAGAUAUAUCAGAAGAAUAUUUUGAUAUAUGAUAUCGACAUAUUUAAAUAAUUUUUCAAAUAAUAUAGCUUUUUUCUUGACAUUUGAAUUGUUAACAAAAGUUUUUUUGACAUAUGCAAAAUAAUAUAAAAUAUGUUUUUUCUCGUAUCGAUUACAUUUGUUUUGAAUAUAAAUUCAUUGCUAAUAUCUGCAAUAACGUGUUCAAUUCUUUUCAAAAAUAUCAUAUUAUUCUCAAUCAUAUAAUAAUAUCGAUUCGAGUUAACUAAAAUCUUCUGUAAUAGCAAUGGAAUUUUCAAGAAUCGAGACUCAAGACUAUUGAAUGUGCAACUAGUAAUUGCAUUGACGUCAUUCGAAUAUAAUAAUGAAAACAUAUUUGAUGAAUAAGAAAAAAGUUCUAUACAACAGCAUUUUAAAGAUUGCGAGAAUAUCAUGUUUUAUCUGAGUGCGAAUGAAUUACGUGAAAUGAAAUUUGUAAAUAUAGGUUAUGAAUGUAUGCGACAUGACAAAAUUAUUUCUACGAUUUAUUUAGAUAUUGUGUUUGCAUUCUUAAAUUAUGUAUUACAAGAAAAUUAAAAAUCAUGUAUAUUUGAAUUUAAUAAAUGUACAAAUAACAUAUGUAUUAAAAAAAUACUUAACAUACUUAUUUUUGCGUAGAACGAAUGAGGUUAAUUUUUUGAUUCUUCGUCUUUCGAUGUAAUUUUUUUCACUUUUUAAUUUCGAUGUCAACGAGUUGCUAUUUUAAUUCACUUCGAUAUAAUAUUCACUUAAAACACAAUUUUUCUUUAUAAUAUGUAAGAAUUUAUUUUUAUUUUAUAAAUAAUCUUUUUUAAUUAUUUCUUUAAAAUACUUAAAAAAAAUUUAUAUUCGUUAAAACACAUAAAUAUUUAUAAAUAAAAAAUUGAAUGAAAGUUAACCACAAAAUAUUAUUGUAAAUUAAUCAAGAAUAUUAUAAAUUUCAUGAUUAUUAAUCUUAAUAUAUGCAAUAUUAUUUUAUAUAUUAUAUAAAAUGUAUAAUUAUUUAUGAUGAAUUAAAAACGAAAAAAAAAUAAACUAUUUAUGGCAAAAAUAAAAAUAAUACUACAAAAAGUCAUAAAAUAAACUUCAGAAUUCAAGGUUAAGAUAUCAUUCCUAAGUCUAAUAAAAAAAAAAAAACUAGAUUUAAAUUUUAUAUAAUGAAACUUACUAAUCCCAUACUCAAAUAUAAGUAUAUAUAUCUGUAUCAAAAAAUUAUACGAUCAUAAUACGAUAUCGAAACACUGACGAGCGAUUGAAUUCAACCCUAACCUCCAACCAACAAGUUAUUCGAUUCUAUCAAUUAUCAUUAUAUACCAUUGUCAGAAAAACAAUCAAGCUUUGAAUUAAAUAUAAUUGAUUUCUUUUUUGCGUUGUUAUACACCAAAACACAAGUAAAAAUAGAAAACAAUUUAAACAGCCAAUGAUAUACGUUUAUGAUUCGAAACAUUUGAUGAAAACGAUCGCCUCGAGUCUGAGCCAUGGUUAUUACUGUCUCCUUUUAUUCUACUAGUAAAGAGAGUAUGCGUGGACAAGAGAGUGAACAAAACAACGAAGGAAACAAGAUAGUGAGAUAAAAAGAGAAAGAACUAACCGCACGUUCAACGGCUUUUGAAGUAGAUAUAGAUGUAUUGGUGCCAAUUUGCGCAUGUGUUGAAUUUAUAUAGAUACACGUCCUUCGUAUGCUUGUGCCUGUCACUGUUUGCCAAGCCGAGCGUAAUGUUGACAAGGAAGAAGGGGAAAGGGAGAAAAUGAAGGGAGAAAACGAGACAGGAAAAAGGACAGGACACAAGUUUUACGUGCCUGUGUUCCAGUUGGUUACAAAAGAGCAUUUUCUGUCGUUUAAUGUGAAAUAGUAUUAGAGUUAUUUAAUAAGAAACACACGAUUUUUUCUUUUGGAUUUUGUCGCACAACAACUUUACUAUAUUAAUGAACAGACGGUACAGUUUCACACGUUCUACCAUCUGAAAUAAACGAUAUCAACUUUCUUUCAAAUGAAUGCGACUCUAAAGCCUUGUCGACAAAGAAAUGAGAUAAAAUUACAUUCGCAAUAGCCACAUGAAAUCCAUUUAUAAAUUUUAACAGAACGAACGAAAGCUUUGAAUACAUUCUGACUGUGGUAUGCAUAUUUAUUUCGUCAUUUUUACCGCGAGUAUUUACGUCACAAAUUAUAUAUAAUUGAUCGUUUUGUUCACAAUAGUACAGCACAUUUUAAAUAGAUAACAUAAAUAUUGCUUAUAAUGCUCUCAGCAUAUUUAAAUCGAAAAAUAAAUUUUGUUUCAUAUUUAAAUUUGUACAUUAUAUCAGUAUUUAUGAAAAUAUUAAUUUUAAAAGAUAUCAAAAAAUAUCAUAAAUCAGUGAAUUACAAACAGAUGGCGUUGAAUGUCUGUUUUAAAUCAUAUUUUUAUUUUUAAACUUUAAAUUUCAUUCUAAAUGUCAUCCAUGAUAAAAAAUUAUUUUACGAUAAAAAAGUAUACAAUUAAAAUUCUGAAAUGAAAAAAAAAAAGAAAGAAAUUCGAUUAAAAUUAAUAUUUCGUAUAAUUUUAAUUUGACUGAACAUUAAAUUUAAGACAAUGUUUUUAAGCGUACCUCUCGAUAAUAAUUAUCUUUGUGUAUAUUAAUUAUCUUCUAUCACGAGUCUGCACAUGAUAAGGUGAUAAAUUACUGAUUAUCAAUAAUAAUUAUUAACACAAUUACACAGAUAUCCGUGAAAAAUCUACAAAAAUUUAAUGCAGGUAAUAUUUUAUCUAUUUACUGAACGGAACAUUACUACUGAUCCUGAACAUUUCGUAAAACGAACCGUGAUGUAUUGUAUACAUAUAAAUGAGCAUGAAUGCAUAUCGUACAAUCGUCAUUUAAAAAGGAGAUAGAGAGAAACAAAUAGUAAAAAAAAACAAGAUAAAGGUACGGAUAGAGAUACUAUAGUGCCAAGGUAAAGAAAGUGAAUUUCCGUUUUCUCAACGUUCUCUAGAUGGUUUGGCGAGCCGGAAGUAAUUGCGAUCGGAUUUCUCGUAGCUUCUCUCUUUUGCCAGAUAAACUAAAGACCUUCGUGGUCACAUUGAAAUGUAUAUUGGUUCAUGUAUAUAUCUAUCACGUAUAAUGAUUGCCGAGAAAUUGUUCCUCAAUACGUGCCUCUGUACGUUGUCUGCAUCCCAUCUGUCUAUAAUCAAACAACCUUUCCUUUCUGGUAAAAUAGAGACACGGUCGCAAGAAAGGCAGAGUAUGGACAUUGACAAUAUGGCCGAGAUAUACGUCAAUAUUUUUAUAAAUAAAUGUUAUUCGACAAAACAAUUUCAUGAUAAUUCUCCAUCAUAAAUAUUAUGAUAAAAAUUUCACAUUUUAAUUAAUGUGUUUUGAUUCUCAAUAUAGAUGAUUCCAAAAUGUUUCUUUCUUACGAAAGUGAAUAAUAUUAUGAAUGUAAUAGAAAUAUGAACACCAAAUAAAAAAUAAAAAAAAUGUUUUCUUAACAAAACAAGAUAAAAAGAUAAAAAAACAAGAUUAAAAAUUAAAAAUAAAAAACUAUAAUUUUCUUAAAGAUUUCAAAGAAUUUAUCCAUACUUCGAAAGAAGCCAUAAAUACAAUAUGGGUUCAGUCGAGAGUUUCUCUUCGAUUUCAUUGCACCAGUGCACUAGUGCGCGGCCGCUGUGAUUCGCAACAACUCAUGCGCGACAAAAUAUUAUGUGCAUUCGCGUAUGCACACAUUUAUUCAUCGACAGUAUCGAAAGAAGGAACACACACGGAGGCAAAAAGAGAGGUCCUAUCUCUCUUUCUUUCUCUCUUCUCCCCUACCCGAUCUCUCCACUUCGACAGUCUACGUUCUUAUUAUUAUCUACGGCGCAACACCAACGUCCACGAUUGCGCAACGUCUUUUAUUAGCAGACUCCCAGCUAGGGCGGUCGCGAAAUCAACUGAUCGUUUCUUCGUUUGUACGUUAAGGCGAUCCAUAAACGCCUAAGAUCUAAUGCGUUCAUUAAAUUUAAUCAUUUCACGACAAUCAUGAUGGGAUUUAGAUUGCGAUUAAUUGUGACACUUUGUAUCCAACAUCAGAAAAUUUCUAUAAAGACAAAGUUUCGUCUCUUUUUGUUUUGUUUUUCUAUAUAUAUAUAUAUGUGUACGAUAGAUAUUCUGAUAUUCAAAUUGCACUGUAUAUGAAUUUUGAUAAUGAAAUUUGUAGUUUUUAAUAUUUAAUUAAUUGUUGAAGUAAUGAUUUCAAGAUUCUAUAUGCAUGUGUAACGAAUGAUUUACAAAACUUAACAAGAUUUUUAAUAAUCUUGUAAUUGGAUGAUGACAAUCAGUAGUUAUUAUUAUAACACAUAGCAAUUGAAAACUAAUACCGGAAAUCCCUUAUGAAAAAGUCAGUAGGUCAGUAUAUUUUCUGUCCCGCAUUGCUAUCUGACAAUCAGGAGAACGUAGGAAUUUUUUUCUUGUACGGGUUCACCUUGAACGCCGGACAAAAAGAAGUUGAAAUCCUCGGGAGGCAGUGCUCGGAGAGGGCCUUGGAACCGAUGCACAGACUCUGACACAUGCGUCUUUCUCUCUAUCUCUCUCUUUCAGUGUAGGACGUUCACAUAUUUUACCAGACGUAACAAAUACAUGCGCAUAAAUGAGAUCUUUAUCGUGGUAUCGUGGUAACUCUCUUUCCACUUUGAAAAUAUGUAUACCUUACUCGACUCGUUUUUUUAUAGAUAAUCUAGUCAAUUCUUGAUUAUAUUGAUUAUAAAAUCUCAAAAUUCACAUAUAUAUAUUUACAUGUUAUUAUUAUAUGUCGUGUAUUCAUAUAUGUAUAUUUAUAUUCACAUCUAUAUAUAUUUCUAUGAUCUGUAGGCAUGCGCAUUCGCGAUAUACACAUCUAGAACUUCUUGCUAUAGGGGCAACGUUUCGCGCAUGCGUGUUGUCCAUUUCUCUAUGACGAUCAAGCAAUCGGGCUACGUCACUUUUCUAUUCGUCAUUGAAAUCAAUGACCUACCUCAAAUAAUUUUCCCAUGAGCUUUUUUUAUAAUUCGCUAUUUGUUUAUGUAUAUAUACGAUUCUUUUUUCACUUUUUUCUCAAUAGUAUCGUAAGUAAUACAAUAGGAAAUAAUUUCUUCGAUGAUUCUCUUACUUUAAGAUAAACAAUCUUAAACCGAAAUUUUUAGUUAGUAUCAAAAGAACGAGCCAUAACACGAACCUCGGAGCCAGUUCGCAAGUGGCUGAUUCCACCAGCAAU